CCCGCCGGACCUGACUGCUAUCGGAUUGAUACUAAGCCAUGCGAGUCUUUGUAGUAAUACAAGGCAGACGGCUCAGUAACACGUAGUCAACCUACCCUAUGGACAAGAAUAAUCUCGGGAAACUGGGCAUAAUUCUUGAUAGAUCAUAAUGCCUGGAAUGGUUUAUGGUUAAAAUGAUUCGUCGCCAUAGGAUGGGACUGCGGCCUAUCAGCUUGUUGGUGAGGUAAUGGCCCACCAAGGCGAUUACAGGUACGGGCUCUGAGAGGAGAAGCCCGGAGAUGGGUACUGAGACACGGACCCAGGCCCUAUGGGGCGCAGCAGGCGAGAAAACUUUGCAAUGUGCGAAAGCACGACAAGGUUAAUCCGAGUGAUUUCUGCUAAAGAAAUCUUUUGCCAGUCAUAAAACCACUGGUGAAUAAGGGGUGGGCAAGUUCUGGUGUCAGCCGCCGCGGUAAAACCAGCACCUCAAGUGGUCAGGAUGAUUAUUGGGCCUAAAGCAUCCGUAGCCGGCUUUGUAAGUUUUCGGUUAAAUUCAUGUGCUCAACGCAUGGGCUGCCGAAAAUACUGCAUAGCUAGGGAGUGGGAGAGGUAGACGGUACUCAGUAGGUAGGGGUAAAAUCCUUUGAUCUAUUGAUGACCACCUGUGGCGAAGGCGGUCUACCAGAACACGUUCGACGGUGAGGGAUGAAAGCUGGGGGAGCAAACCGGAUUAGAUACCCGGGUAGUCCCAGCCGUAAACUAUGCAAACUCAGUGAUGCAUUGGCUUUUGGCCAAUGCAGUGUUGCAGGGAAGCCGUUAAGUUUGCCGCCUGGGAAGUACGUACGCAAGUAUGAAACUU
rnacentral:rRNA from 1 species